rnacentral:rRNA from 1 species
CACCGCCCGUCACACCACGAAAGUGGUCAUAACCAGAAGUGAGAGAGCUAACGCAAGAGGCAUCUCACCAAGGUUCUGGCCGUGAUUGGGGUG